rnacentral:tRNA from 1 species
GGCACGGUGCCCGAGUGGUUAGGGGACGGUCUGCAAAACCGUUCAACGUGGGUUCGAAUCCCACCCGUGCCU